ACCCUAUUAUUAAAAUUAUAAAUUUAAAAACUAAGGUAGUAAUAGAUAUGAUCUUGAAACUUAAAAAAUUUGGCGGUAUUUUAAACUAUCCAGAGGAACCUGUUCUAUAAUCGAUAAUCCACGAUGGACCUAACUUAAAUUUGUUAAUCAGUUUAUAUAUCGUUGUUAUAAAAAAUUUUUAAAGAAGUAUUAAUUUUUAAGAUUUUAUAUUUGAAAUUAUAUCAAAUCAAGGUGUAGCUAAUAUUUAAGUAGAAAUGGGUUACAAUAAAAUUAUUUAUGGAUAUAAUUAUGAAAAGAUUAUUAAAAUUGGAUUUGGAAGUAAAAUUAUAAAGAUUAAUAAUUUGACUAUAGCUCUAAAAUAUGUACAUAUCGCCCGUCACUCUUAUUAUUAAGAUAAGAUAAGUCGUAAC
rnacentral:rRNA from 1 species